rnacentral:rRNA from 1 species
UACGGAGGGAGCUAGCGUUGUUCGGAAUUACUGGGCGUAAAGCGCGCGCAGGCGGUCAGAGGCGUCGGUGCUCAAAGUCCACCGCUUAACGGUGGGAGGCGUGCCGAUACGCUCUGACUGGAGGGCGGGCGAGGGUGGUGGAAUUGCCGGUGUAGUGGUGAAAUGCGUAGAGAUCGGCAGGAACACCAGUGGCGAAGGCGGCCACCUAGCCCGCACCUGACGCUGAGGCGCGACAGCGUGGGGAGCGAACUGG